rnacentral:rRNA from 1 species
AUUGAACGCUGGCGGCAGGCCUAACACAUGCAAGUCGAACGGUAACAGGAAGACGCUUGCUUCUUUGCUGACGAGUGGCGGACGGGUGAGUAAUGUCUGGGAAACUGCCUGAUGGAGAGGGAUAACUACUGGAAACGGUAGCUAAUACCGCAUAACGUCGCAAGACCAAAGAGGGGGACCUUCGGGCCUCUUGCCAUCGGAUGUGCCCAGAUGGGAUUAGCUAGUAGGUGGGGUAACGGCUCACCUAGGCGACGAUCCCUAGCUGGUCUGAGAGGAUGACCAGCCACACUGGAACUGAGACACGGUCCAGACUCCUACGGGAGGCAGCAGUGGGGAAUAUUGCACAAUGGGCGCAAGCCUGAUGCAGCCAUGCCGCGUGUAUGAAGAAGGCCUUCGGGUUGUAAAGUACUUUCAGCGGGGAGGAAGGGAGUAAAGUUAAUACCUUUGCUCAUUGACGUUACCCGCAGAAGAAGCACCGGCUAACUCCGUG